GCUGGUGCUUAAAGAAGCAAAAUUGUGAACUUUUAAAAAGUCACAAUUUUGCUUCUUUAGGCACCAG